rnacentral:lncRNA from 1 species
AUGAAGACCACACCGGGCUGUGAUGGCCUCCCGAAGGUCUGCCUCUGCACCGUGACGCCACCCGGGCUGGACGAGGAUGGGUUACAGGGCACCUGCGCCACGGACAGCGGGAUCAGGCACCGUGUGGACACCGAGCCUGACGCUGGGCCCCAGGCGGCCCUCACCCCGUCCCUGCACGGGCAGCCACGGCCACGAAAGCCAGCUCGGUCGGUGCCCAUCAUCUGGCGCAUGGGACUCGGCCCCGGAGUAAGGGCUGCUGCCCUGCACUGGACCCGGGUGGGAGAGGUGCGGGGCCCAUGCUCUGCUGGGCCAGUUUCAAGGACGGCUGCAAAGCGGGGAGCAGGGAGCCGCGCACUCCUCCUGAGCUCAGGCCCUCCACCCGCCCGCCCCCACCCUCAGGGAACCCUGGAUCUAACCCUGGACUCAAGGCCAUGCUACCCCUCCCCAAGCCAGGGCGGAGACUGCAGACACACAGAGCAGGAUGUGGGAAGAAAGGGCUGCUUGGGGUUGACGCUGGGGGCGGAGGAGGUGUGCGACAUCCUGUCUCAGGCUCAGAGGGAGCCUGGCAGAGGCCCCACUCCCGCCAGGCAGGCAUGGAGGGGCAGGGCGGCCCCGCCAGGCAGGCUGGAGGAAGGGUCCUCCUGCCACCAAGGCUGGGGACAGGCCUCCCGCAGCCUUCAUGGGGCUGGGGGCUGGGAGGGACAAACUUCUGCUCUGCUCUGCUCCCCACAGCUCCCAACCCAGAUGCCUCCUGUGGCCGGGCAUCAGGGGAUCCGCCCGAGCAGAGCCCAUGAGGGCGCCGCCCUGCUCCCCAGGGAGGCGGGCGCAUCCUGCAGGCACCCGCAGCCCUCCCCAGACGUUGCCCGACACCCUUGGCAGCUGCCCCAGGUCGGCAGCUCUGGCUGCGGUGGCCCCGUCCGCCGGCUCCUCUGCCUGGCUGCAUGGCUAGGAGCCUUGCCACUGUCACUGCCGGUCCUGGGCCCAGACCCCGCCCGGCACUCUCGCUUCUGCAGUCGGGGCUCUCGGCCUGCCUCUCCUGCCAGCCUUUCCAGCAUCACCUGGCCGGCACACGGGACCACGUGCCCCGUCACGUCCCCCACGAAGCUUGCCCGGCUGUUCCACCUCCGGGCCUCUGCUCAGCUGAGACCCUGGCUGCCCUGUUCAGCGGACCCCUGCCUGGCCCUGGUGUCAGGGGUGAAUCCGCCAGCCUGGCGAGCGGCCCUGAGACACUCACCGACACAGUGUCCUGGCUCAGGUACCCGAGAGGCUGCCCGAGCCGUAGUGGAUGUCGAAGGUCGUGCCGCUCUUCACGCACGUGCUGGACUUGUCGCUGUUGUAUUUGCGGUGGGGCCAGCAGGCCGAGGGCGAGCAGCAGCGGCAGCAGUCUGGGCGUCUGCAUGGCGGCGGCGGCCCGGUCGAAGCGGAGAGCCCGGGAGGUCGCGAGCUUAUAGCCGGGAUGACGGCGCAGUUGGGCCGCGUCAGCUGACCCGCUUGUUUGCACCGGGCUGGUCACGUGGGCUGCGGCCGGCGACGGGGGCGGGGCCGGGCCGGCGCGGGGCGGGACCUGAGCGGUGAGGGGCGGGGCCACCCGCGACUAGGAGCUGCUGCGUCUGCUCAGGCGAGCUGUCCUCCUGUCCCCCUCGGGCCACGUGCUGACCCGGAGAAUUGCCACGACCUUGUCGGGGCAGAGAGACCAGGCCUGGCCCCGCUGGACCCCUCAGCCGGGCGAGGCUCCCGAGCCGCGGCUCCUUCCCGGCCCUGGCUCGCGGCUGGCUCCCCACGGCUCCCCAGGGCUCCCCACUCCACCUGCUCCCUCCUGGGCGCCCUUGUUUCCAGCUCUUCCUUUGCCCUGGGAGUCUCCCAGGUGGUUUCUCUGGAGGCUCCAGCUGCCCUCAUCCUCCAAGUGGCCCACAGCCCUCCCAGCCUCGGCACCGCGCCCCAGAGCAGCACCUGGCCUGGCCCGGCCCUGGUAACCGUGGGCUCUCCUCCUCUGUAAAUUGGCACCAUCCCUACCUUGUGGCAAAUCUCAAAGUCUGCCAUGGAGUGUGUGUGUGUGUGUGUGUGUGUGUGUGUAGGUGGGAGGGACAGCAGGUCACAGUUCAGCCACUUGGGAUCAGUUUUACCAGCUUCUGGGGUAGGAGAGCGAGUCCCUUGGUCUGGCUAAUGCACAGCACUGUCUGAGGCCUCAGUGACCCCUUAGCCUGGGAGCUGAGUUCCUGCUGCCUAAGGGGAGAAUCAGCUCCAUCCUCCACCCUAGGUCGCACCCAAAGGAGGGAUGGGUGUUACCAAGGAAAGGAAUUCGGACAGGUCAUUUCAGAGAAGGUCACGUGAAGAAGGAAAUUCAGCAGGAGAAUAUGCCGGAAGUGACUGAUACAGGGUGUCGACUUAAAAAUGGCGCAACGUAAAGUUGUCCCUUUCCUUUGGAGCAAAGCUCUCAUGUAAUAAGUAUCUUCACUUUUAACCUGACAAACUCUAUUAAGGUAGAUUUUCUAUUGAGGAAAAGUGUCAGAUCAGCCUCUUACCUAACCACUUCAGCCAAGACCACUCAAGUCUCCUACAACUGAGCAAACCCUGGUAUCUUUCAACAGAGCCCCACCCAGUAUCUAGACCUUAGGUGAGUGUGCCCUGGUCAACCAGCAUCUGCACACCACCUCCCCCAACUCCCCAAAUAUCUUUCAGUUGGAAGCAGGCAGGUACCUGUUCCACCACCAAAUAAAACUCAGGAUUAUCAACCAAUAUGGGAGAUCCGAGAACCAGGAGUUGUUGUUCCAGCUCUUUGAGACCCCAAUGACUACAGCAUGCCAGACUUCACUAUUCACCUACCCAGAUUUGUCUGGACUCUUCAAGGAGGUGGACAGGUAUAAGAGGCCUCUGGUCGUAUACCAGGGCUCCAGCCCUCUGGGUAACCGUUGGUCACCAUGAACUGUCACCUUUAA